UACGAAGGGGGCUAGCGUUGUUCGGAAUUACUGGGCGUAAAGCGCACGUAGGCGGACUAUUAAGUCAGGGGUGAAAUCCCGGGGCUCAACCCCGGAACUGCCUUUGAUACUGGUAGUCUCGAGUCCGGAAGAGGUGAGUGGAAUUCCGAGUGUAGAGGUGAAAUUCGUAGAUAUUCGGAGGAACACCAGUGGCGAAGGCGGCUCACUGGUCCGGUACUGACGCUGAGGAGCGAAAGCGUGGGGAGCAAACAGG
rnacentral:rRNA from 1 species